CCUACGGGAGGCUGCAGUGGGGAAUAUUGGACAAUGGGGGCAACCCUGAUCCAGCCAUGCCGCGUGUGUGAAGAAGGCCCUCGGGUUGUAAAGCACUUUCAGUGAGGAAGAACGCCUGGUGGUUAAUACCCAUCAGGAAAGACAUCACUCACAGAAGAAGCACCGGCUAACUCCGUGCCAGCAGCCGCGGUAAUACGGAGGGUGUGAGCGUUAAUCGGAAUUACUGGGCGUAAAGCGCGCGUAGGUGGCUUGAUAAGCCGGUUGUGAAAGCCCCGGGCUCAACCUGGGAACGGCAUCCGGAACUGUCAAGCUAGAGUGCAGGAGAGGAAGGUAGAAUUCCCGGUGUAGCGGUGAAAUGCGUAGAGAUCGGGAGGAAUACCAGUGGCGAAGGCGGCCUUCUGGACUGACACUGACACUGAGGUGCGAAAGCGUGGGUAGCAAACAGGAUUAGAUACCCCGGUAGUC
rnacentral:rRNA from 1 species